GAUGGGGUGACUAGUGACAGAGUGAGGAAGGGGGUGACUAGGGAGAGAGGGGGUGAUUAGUGACAGAGUUAGGGAGGGAGUAACUAGUGACAGAGAGAGGGAUGGGGUGACUAGUGACAGUCACCCCCCCCCUCACUCUGUCACCAGUCAUCCCCUCACUCUGUCACUAGUCACCCCUUCCCUCCCUCACUUUGCCACUAGUCAUCUCUUCCCUCCCUCACUCUGCCACUAGUCACCCAUUCCCUCACUCUGUCACUAGUCACCCCUAUC